GAUUUUAAACAGACCGUGAGCAUGAUCCAAUCCUCUAAGCUCGAGGAUACCCUGUCCUCUAGGGUUACAAUCAUCAUAUAGUCCAUAGGUUUCAUAUACACUAUGACUCACAUGGUUUCAUAUACACUAUGACUCACAUAUGUUACUCGUUCUUUUGUUUAUUAUCAACUAGAUGCCACUCGUUCUUUACAAGUUUCCAAUGCAAUAGCCAAUACAUUACUAAAUUCC
rnacentral:lncRNA from 1 species